GAUGAAGAACGUAGUGAAAUGCGAUACGUAGUGUGAAUUGCAGAAUUCAGUGAAUCAUCGAAUCUUUGAACGCACAUUGCGCCCGCUAGUAUUCUGGCGGGCAUGCCUGUCUGAGCGUCAUUUCAACCCUCGCCCCCGGCUUUUGCUGGGAGCGGUGUUGGGGAUCGGCCGCCCGUCACUGGGAGGCCGGCCCCGAAAUAGAGUGGCGACCACGCCGUGUGCUCCUCUGCGUAGUAGUAAAUCACCUCGCAGGCGGACAGCGGUGCGGCCUGCCGUAAAACCCCCAACUCUUUCUGGUUGACCUCAGAUCAGGUAGGAAUACCCGCUGAACUUAAGCAUAUCAAUAAGCGGAGGA
rnacentral:misc_RNA from 1 species